AUUGAACGCUGGCGGCAGGCUUAACACAUGCAAGUCGAGCGGGGUGAUGGUGCUUGCACUAUCACUUAGCGGCGGACGGGUGAGUAAUGCUUAGGAAUCUGCCUAUUAGUGGGGGACAACAUCUCGAAAGGGAUGCUAAUACCGCAUACGUCCUACGGGAGAAAGCAGGGGAUCACUUGUGACCUUGCGCUAAUAGAUGAGCCUAAGUCGGAUUAGCUAGUUGGUGGGGUAAGGCCUACCAAGGCGACGAUCUGUAGCGGGUCUGAGAGGAUGAUCCGCCACACUGGGACUGAGACACGGCCCAGACUCCCACGGGAGGCAGCAGUGGGGAAUAUUGGACAAUGGGGGGAACCCUGAUCCAGCCAUGCCGCGUGUGUGAAGAAGGCCUUAUGGUUGUAAAGCACUUUAAGCGAGGAGGAGGCUCUUUUGGUUAAUACCCAAGAUGAGUGGACGUUACUCGCAGAAUAAGCACCGGCUAACUCUGUGCCAGCAGCCGCCGUAA
rnacentral:rRNA from 1 species